CGGCGUGCUUAACACAUGCAAGUCGAACGCGAAAGGGACUUCGGUCCUGAGUAAAGUGGCGCACGGGUGAGUAACGCGUAGAUAACCUGUCUUCAUGUCUGGAAUAAUACGCCGAAAGGGGUACUAAUACCGGAUAUUCUUGCUUUUCAUAAGUUAUGCAAGCAAAGGUGGCCUCUGCAUAUGCUACUGCAUGAAGAGGGGUCUGCGUACCAUUAGCUAGUAGGUGGGGUAAUGGCCUACCUGGGCGACGAUGGUUAGCGGGUCUGAGAGGAUGAUCCGCCACACUGGCACUGGAACACGGGCCAGACUCCUACGGGAGGCAGCAGUGAGGAAUAUUGCGCAAUGGGGGAAACCCUGACGCAGCGACGCCGCGUGAGUGAAGGAAGGCCUUCGGGUCGUAAAGCUCUGUCAAGAGGAAAGAAGUGUACAAUGGCUAAUACCUGUUGUAUUUGACGGUACCUCUAAAGGAAGCACCGGCUAACUCCGUGCCAGCCGCAGC
rnacentral:rRNA from 1 species